AAGGUUUCUUUGACGUAUUUGAUCUAUGGGUUUUGAUUAUUCGAGGAAUCGGAUGAAGGAGCAUUAUGAAGAGUUAUACUGCGUUUUGGUUUAUAUGAUAUUGUAUUAACUAGAUAAUUUUUCUUCCCUCAUAUUUGUUAUUACAAUUUUAUACGAGGGAUAGGAGUUGUAUGUUUUAUAUGUAUAUUACAUUAUAAGCUAUUAUGUAAGGAUUCUUGUAUAUGAAUCUAUGCCUGUUUGUUUUU